rnacentral:snRNA from 1 species
UCGAUUCCCGGAGGGUGCA